AACGAACGCUGGCGGCAUGCCUAACACAUGCAAGUCGAACGAAGCCUUCGGGCUUAGUGGCGCACGGGUGCGUAACGCGUGGGAAUCUGCCCUUUGGUUCGGAAUAACAGUUGGAAACGACUGCUAAUACCGGAUGAUGACGAAAGUCCAAAGAUUUAUCGCCAGAGGAUGAGCCCGCGUAGGAUUAGCUAGUUGGUGUGGUAAAGGCGCACCAAGGCGACGAUCCUUAGCUGGUCUGAGAGGAUGAUUAGCCACACUGGGACUGGGACACGGCCCAGACUCCUACGGGAGGCAGCAGUGGGGAAUAUUGGACAAUGGGCGAAAGCCUGAUCCAGCAAUGCCGCGUGAGUGAUGAAGGCCCUAGGGUUGUAAAGCUCUUUUACCCGGGAUGAUAAUGACAGUACCGGGAGAAUAAGCCCCGGCUAACUCCGUGCCAGCCGCCGCCGUAA
rnacentral:rRNA from 1 species